rnacentral:rRNA from 1 species
UACGGAGGGUGCGAGCGUUGUUCGGAAUCACUGGGCGUAAAGCGCGUGUAGGCGGCUCGAUAAGUCUGAUGUGAAAGCCCGGGGCUCACCCCCGGAAGUGCAUUGGAUACUGCCGAGCUCGAGUCCCGGAGAGGAGAGUGGAAUUCCUGGUGUAGCGGUGAAAUGCGUAGAUAUCAGGAGGAACACCGGUGGCGAAGGCGGCUCUCUGGACGGUGACUGACGCUGAGACGCGAAAGCGUGGGGAGCAAACAGG